CAGCCGCCGCGGUAAUACAGAGGGUGCGAGCGUUAAUCGGAUUUACUGGGCGUAAAGCGUGCGUAGGCGGCUUCUUAAGUCGGAUGUGAAAUCCCUGAGCUUAACUUAGGAAUUGCAUUCGAUACUGGGAAGCUAGAGUAUGGGAGAGGAUGGUAGAAUUCCAGGUGUAGCGGUGAAAUGCGUAGAGAUCUGGAGGAAUACCGAUGGCGAAGGCAGCCAUCUGGCCUAAUACUGACGCUGAGGUACAAAAGCAUGGGGAGCAAACAGGAUUAGAUACCCCCGUAGUCCCUGUCUCUUAUAC
rnacentral:rRNA from 1 species